UUUUUGCUUUUAUCCUUUUUCUAUCUAUCUUCCUUUUUUGCAUUCUCUGUUUCUUCUCUCGAUAAAUUCUUCUUUUGUGAAAAUAAACUAAAAUGGAGGGGUGGCAUUUUCUCAAUUGCUGUUUUUGAUGCUUGUGCUGAGGAGUCUAGCAAUGGAGGAUUGCAGUUAUUAGUUCAAAUCAAAUAUAUGGAAGAGACUGCGCUGGCGGCAAUUUGGUGGGAGUGUGGAGUAUUUGGGAGGAAAUCAAUAAUAGGGCCUUCUACAUUUCCAAUGUUGGUAUGCCGAUCGUUAAAGCUUUUAAGAAUUGAGUAUGCUGGAUGAUGUUGAAGAGUUUGAAUGAAGCUCCAUCUAGACUCGUGUGCUGUGUAUUGGGGAUUAGGUGUUUUAGAUUGUUUUUGGUUGCUAGCUGUUGGUUGACUUGGUUAUGGGCUGUUCCUGUUACUGUUCCCCACUUUUCCUCUGUAAUAUACUUCUGGUAUGCAAUAAAUUUGUUUCUUGUUGCCUCACAAAA